AGAGUUUGAUCCUGGCUCAGAUUGAACGCUGGCGGCAUGCCUUACACAUGCAAGUAGAACGGCAGCACGGGUGCUUGCACCUGGUGGCGAGUGGCGAACGGGUGAGUAAUAUAUCGGAACGUACCCUAGAGUGGGGGAUAACGUAGCGAAAGUUACGCUAAUACCGCAUACGAUCUACGGAUGAAAGUGGGGGAUCGCAAGACCUCAUGCUCAUGGAGCGGCCGAUAUCUGAUUAGCUAGUUGGUGGGGUAAAAGCCUACCAAGGCGACGAUCAGUAGCUGGUCUGAGAGGACGACCAGCCACACUGGAACUGAGACACGGUCCAGACUCCUACGGGAGGCAGCAGUGGGGAAUUUUGGACAAUGGGGGCAACCCUGAUCCAGCAAUGCCGCGUGAGUGAAGAAGGCCUUCGGGUUGUAAAGCUCUUUUGUCAGGGAAGAAACGGGAUUUUCUAAUACAAAGUCCUAAUGACGGUACCUGAAGAAUAAGCACCGGCUAACUACGUGCCAGCAGCCGCGGUAAUACGUAGGGUGCAAGCGUUAAUCGGAAUUACUGGGCGUAAAGCGUGCGCAGGCGGUUGUGCAAGACAGAUGUGAAAUCCCCGGGCUCAACCUGGGAAUUGCAUUUGUGACUGCACGGCUAGAGUGUGUCAGAGGGGGGUAGAAUUCCACGUGUAGCAGUGAAAUGCGUAGAGAUGUGGAGGAAUACCGAUGGCGAAGGCAGCCCCCUGGGAUAACACUGACGCUCAUGCACGAAAGCGUGGGGAGCAAACAGGACUAGAUACCCUGGUAGUCCACGCCCUAAACGAUGUCUACUAGUUGUCGGGUCUUAAUUGACUUGGUAACGCAGCUAACGCGUGAAGUAGACCGCCUGGGGAGUACGGUCGCAAGAUUAAAACUCAAAGGAAUUGACGGGGACCCGCACAAGCGGUGGAUGAUGUGGAUUAAUUCGAUGCAACGCGAAAAACCUUACCUACCCUUGACAUGUACGGAACUUACCAGAGAUGGUUUGGUGCUCGAAAGAGAACCGUAACACAGGUGCUGCAUGGCUGUCGUCAGCUCGUGUCGUGAGAUGUUGGGUUAAGUCCCGCAACGAGCGCAACCCUUGUCAUUAGUUGCUACGAAAGGGCACUCUAAUGAGACUGCCGGUGACAAACCGGAGGAAGGUGGGGAUGACGUCAAGUCCUCAUGGCCCUUAUGGGUAGGGCUUCACACGUCAUACAAUGGUACAUACAGAGGGCCGCCAACCCGCGAGGGGGAGCUAAUCCCAGAAAGUGUAUCGUAGUCCGGAUUGUAGUCUGCAACUCGACUACAUGAAGUUGGAAUCGCUAGUAAUCGCGGAUCAGCAUGUCGCGGUGAAUACGUUCCCGGGUCUUGUACACACCGCCCGUCACACCAUGGGAGCGGGUUUCACCAGAAGUAGGUAGCCUAACCGCAAGGAGGGCGCUUACCACGGUGGGAUUCGUGACUGGGGUGAAGUCGUAACAAGGUA
rnacentral:rRNA from 1 species